UCCUACGGGAGGCAGCAGUAGGGAAUCUUCCACAAUGGACGCAAGUCUGAUGGAGCAACGCCGCGUGAGUGAAGAAGGUUUUCGGAUCGUAAAGCUCUGUUGUUGGUGAAGAAGGAUAGAGGUAGUAACUGGCCUUUAUUUGACGGUAAUCAACCAGAAAGUCACGGCUAACUACGUGCCAGCAGCCGCGGUAAUACGUAGGUGGCAAGCAUUGUCCGGAUUUAUUGGGCGUAAAGCGAGCGCAGGCGGAAAAAUAAGUCUAAUGUGAAAGCCCUCGGCUUAAC
rnacentral:rRNA from 1 species